UACGUAGGGUGCAAGCGUUGUCCGGAGUUAUUGGGCGUAAAGAGCUCGUAGGCGGUCUGUUGCGUCGGCUGUGAAAACCCGGGGCUCAACUCCGGGCCUGCAGCUGAUACGGGCAGACUAGAGUUCGGCAGGGGAGACUGGAAUUCCUGGUGUAGCGGUGAAAUGCGCAGAUAUCAGGAGGAACACCGGUGGCGAAGGCGGGUCUCUGGGCCGAUACUGACGCUGAGGAGCGAAAGCGUGGGGAGCGAACAGG
rnacentral:rRNA from 1 species